UCGAUUUGGAGUUUGUUGCCUAGAGUGAUGGGCUCCGAAGCUAACGCGAUAAAUCGACCGCCUGGGGAGUACGGCCGCAAGGUUAAAACUCAAAUGAAUUGACGGGGGCCCGCACAAGCGGUGGAGCAUGUGGUUUAAUUCGAUGCAACGCGAAGAACCUUACCUGGUCUUGACAUCCACAGAAUCUUGCAGAGAUGCGAGAGUGCCUUCGGGAACUGUGAGACAGGUGCUGCAUGGCUGUCGUCAGCUCGUGUUGUGAAAUGUUGGGUUAAGUCCCGCAACGAGCGCAACCCUUAUCCUUUGUUGCCAUUGGUUCGGCCGGGAACUCAAAGGAGACUGCCGUUGAUAAAGCGGAGGAAGGUGGGGACGACGUCAAGUCAUCAUGGCCCUUACGACCAGGGCUACACACGUGCUACAAUGGCGUAUACAAAGGGAGGCGACCUCGCGAGAGCAAGCGGACCUCAUAAAGUACGUCUAAGUCCGGAUUGGAGUCUGCAACUCGACUCCAUGAAGUCGGAAUCGCUAGUAAUCGUGAAUCAGAAUGUCACGGUGAAUACGUUCCCGGGCCU
rnacentral:rRNA from 1 species